AUUGAACGCUGGCGGCAUGCCUCACACAUGCAAGUCGAGCGAGCGGCGGACGGGUGUGUAAUGUCUGGGAAACUGCCUGAUGGAGGGGGAUAACUACUGGAAACGGUAGCUAUUACCGCAUACCAUCAGAUGUGCCCAGAUGGGAUUAGCUCGUAGUUGGGGUAACGGCUCACCUAGGCGACGAUCCCUAGCUGGUCUGAGAGGAUGACCAGCCACACUGGGACUGGGAUACGGGCCAGACUCCUACGGGAGGCAGCAGUGGGGAAUAUUGCACAAUGGGGGCAAGCCUGAUGCAGCCAUGCCGCGUGUGUGAAGAAGGCCUUCGGGUUGUAAAGCAAUUUCAGCGGGGAGGCGUUACCCACAGAAGAAGCACCGGCUAACUCCGUGCCAGCCGCCGCGGUAAUAC
rnacentral:rRNA from 1 species